GGGGAUUUAGCUCAGUGGUAGAGCACUUGCCUAGGAAGCGCAAGGCCCUGGGUUCGGUCCCCAGCUCCCCCC
rnacentral:tRNA from 1 species